UCUACUAGUGUUGGUCGUGCUAUCGUUUUGCUAUUGUUCAGUGCUGGUAGUUGUUUUGGCUUUGUUUAACUUGACCUAAUGGUGGUCCUAUGCUGUCCAGUCUGGUCAGAAACUUGUCGGGGACUCAGGUGUAGUCUGAAUUAUGAAAACUUUUGCGGAGGUUUCUCCUUUGAAGGGACGAUGGAGACGGACAAAACAGAUGAAAUUUAUUUUGAGCACAUUAGAAUAGACCAACGUGAAGUUUUUUUUUACCAAUGUAGCAUUUCUUCGUUGCUGCAACAUAAUACUACCAUCUUACGCACACUGAAACAAAAUGAUGGACCAGUCAAACAGAUGAAAUUAUUUUGAGCACACUAGAAUAGAUCAACGCGAAAUUAUUUUUUAUCUAUGUUUUUUGUUUCAAAAUUGAUGAACGUUUUUCUGGUCGGUGAACUAUUUUUGAAGUUUGUGAACUUUCUUUGAAAGAACAUUUUAAAUUCACGAUUUUUUCUUUUUUUAAAGUCAAUGGUUGACCAGUCAAAGGUGGACCGGUCAACAGCGAUCGAAGUGAACGAGGCCAGAUGCACUGCGAUCGUGCGGGACGAGGGGUACAUGGCUACCUGGGCCGGCCCAGGUCGCGGGGCGCAUGGGCGAACUGAAGCGGACAAGAAGCCGAGGCCACUAACCAAACAGGCUUGUCUCAAAACAAAAAAAAAACUAACCAAACAGGCCGUCAAGCCCAUACCCCUCUGGACAGUGAGAUCUCAGGGUAGCACCGCACGAAUCUUGAAGCACGAGCAACCCCCCAAACUAACCGCUGCAUCCUAGCAAGCUCCAUCGCCGGCGCGUUUCUCCGCCGCCGCCGCCGCUGGUCCUCGCCGUGGGGAAGGCGUCAGGUCAAUCUCCGUGACGAUUUCCUCUCUUGCUCUUAGGUCGUCGCCUUCCAACACCGAUGCCAAAUUCAUCCAGGGCGUCCAAGGGCUCCUCCUUGAGCUCUCUGCUCGCCUUUCUUCGGCUACUGUCGAUGGUGUAUCACAUUGUCCGACAAGGCAACAAGAGUGGACUUCGUCAAGGACUUGUGAGACCACAGAGAUAUCCAGGUUUAGACCCCUUCUAAUGGGCAAAAGGCCUACGUCACGCUUUGCUUCUUGAUUGUUUCAAGGAUUAUAACGGGGAUCAGUAAAACAUCAUUAGCCGUAUUUUCAAGAUUUACUUGCAAAUAUCUGAUGGCAGUAGCAUUAUCUUGUAUUGUUUUUGCAUGGUCAUAUCCAAAUGAUGUUGUUUAAUCAGGAAA